AUGUAGGGUUUAGUGAUUAGUGGUUUGGGUUUAGUUUAUGAAAGAUUGGGGUUGACAUUGGAUUAUGGUUUAUAUUUCUGUGGUUAGUUGAUAGGGUUUAGUUUAUGUACGACUGGAAUUGACAUUGGGGAAAACAUUACCACCUUCCAUUAAGGCAUAGCCAUAUCAACAUUUGAAAAAUAUGUUAAGAUGAUGUUUAGAUUGCAAUUACAUUUUCACCUUUUCUAUUCAAUAUGCUCAUGUAGAAU
rnacentral:lncRNA from 1 species